CCUACGGGUGGCAGCAGUGAGGAAUAUUGGUCAAUGGGCGCGAGCCUGAACCAGCCAAGUCGCGUGAGGGAAGACGGUCCUAUGGAUUGUAAACCUCUUUUGUCGGGGAGCAAAAGACGCCACGUGUGGCGUUCCGAGAGUACCCGAAGAAAAAGCAUCGGCUAACUCCGUGCCAGCAGCCGCGGUAAUACGGAGGAUGCGAGCGUUAUCCGGAUUUAUUGGGUUUAAAGGGUGCGUAGGCGGAAUAUCAAGUCAGCGGUAAACAUUCGGGGCUCAACCCCGUCGUGCCGUUGAAACUGAUGUUCUUGAGUGGGCGAGAAGUAUGCGGAAGGCGUGGUGUAGCGGUGAAAUGCAUAGAUAUCACGCAGAACUCCGAUUGCGAAGGCAGCAUACCGGCGCCCAACUGACGCUGAAGCACGAAAGCGUGGGUAUCGAACAGGAUUAGAUACCCGGGUAGUC
rnacentral:rRNA from 1 species